rnacentral:lncRNA from 1 species
AGCACCCCACGGGGAAUGAUUGGGUCGAAUAAACUUCUUCUGCCAUAGUGCAGUUAUUUGAUGCACAAGUUCCACAAGUUUUAUUCGUUUCGUCUGAUAUGUAGGAUUUGAAAUAGGUUGGGUUCCGCAUAUAAGAUUAAUAGAGAACUCAAUCUUCUGUAUAGCAUGUAGACUAAGUGAAUCUGCUCGAAAGACAUUCAGGAAAUUGAAGACCACUAGGAUUGUCUGUAGUGAUGGUUCAAAGUCCAUAUUCCUAGGCAUCAACAACUCCAAAUUUGAAAUAACUCCAAAAAUUUUCACAAUG